CAUUGCCACUAAUAUCCUGUUGACCAGAGCUGAACGGUUGAAAACAGCCCAUUUGGAGCACUUCCGAGUUAACAUUCAGCUGCUAAAUAUGGAGGACUGAACUGGAGAUUACGAAACAUUUCCAAAACAAUCAUCGUAUGUCAUUUACUCUACGUAUUUUGGCACCAAUCAAUUCCUGCCGCAAUUGGUAACGUGCAUCGUAACUGCUCACUUCUUCCCGUCCGCAAAAUGUUAUCCACGGCAUCCGUCGAUUCGUGUCCCGUGGGAAACGAUGAAUGACAAUAUCUGUAUUGUUCACUUGUUAAUGUAUCACUAGUUAAUUAUAUUCAGAAUGGAUCGUAUGCUUAUUUGUGCUAAAACAUUAUUAUCAUGAUAAAAAUGUUGAUCAAAACAGUAUGUACCUACUGGCGAUUUUAAAAUUUUACUCUUUUUUCUUCGGAAAGCUUGGAUCAUAAGCUUUGACAAAACACAAUCCCACACCUGUAUUACGGUUGAACGUUUUUGGUUAACUAUAAACUGAUUUAAACUUUUCGAUUUUUUUAUUUUUGCAGAAAUAAUGUUUCAGGGAAUUCUUACGUAAACCUCAUUUAUAUUCUAUUUUUUUGCUUCAGCAUAGAUAACUUGAUAAAUACUUUGCAGAAAUGACCGGUUCUUGGUUACAAUCUAGGCCGACAGUAAAUGCUUGUUGCAAUGAUCCAUAAAAUAUUUAGAACCACCUAAUUUGAUAAGGAUGAAGACAUCGAACCUCAGGCGGCUGCCGUUUUCUUUUUACCUCCUUUUCUUGUUUUUUGACGAUCGCAACAGCUACUUCCAAUUCGGUAGGCACUGAUUUGACAAGGAAAAUUCUGUCAUGAAACGUUUCUGACAUGUAUUCUUUGAAAGGUUCUGGUACCUUUUAAAAUAUCAUAGGUUCAAAAAAUUAAAAAAAAAAAACAAAAGACCAACUCGCUGAAUGCAACGGAACCGGCAAACCAAACCUCCAGAUCAAGUAUUUUAGAUGCAGCAGUGCACCGGAAACGAUGUUAAUUUAUUGUCAUGGGGAGAAGUAAGCAAAAAUUGUUCCAUCUUUUCAAACUCAUGCACUCAGAAGAUGCCUUUAGUGUCUCGCCUACGAAAUCAAACUUCUUGUCGGAAGCAAGUGAACAAUACGGCGUUUUUGAUCGAAAGAGAGGCCGCUAUCGGUUGCUUAGAAGUUGCUAAUGAACAUUUCUUUUCAGCGCUUCCUUCUUCAUCCUUUUUCCAUAACCUUGUAAAGUUCCACUCUUCGGUGCUGGAGGAGCACCCAGUACCGUACCCAAUACUUCUCCAGUCGCAACUUCCUCACUCGGCUUUCUUCACUUCAAACAUUCCCGGGAGCAUCAACCUCGAAUCAGCCGUACGGUAGCUCAGAUCAGCGAUGAUUGUUUUGGAAAUGCUUCGUAAUCUAAAAUAAAAAACAUUUUUCAAAACAUUAAUUUUACAAACUGUUUAAUUUCUCACUCACCUCCAGUUCAGUCCUUCAGAUCUAGCAGCUGAAUGUUAACUCGAAAGUGCUCAGAGUGGGCUGUUUUCAACCGUUCAGCUGUGGUCAACAUUUCACUUCCGAUGGGUGCUGCGGAAUCGAAUCCAGUCAAGAUUGUACCUUCUCCUGUUACUUGCUGUUCAAGCUUGCUUUUUGGUUCGUGGUGCAAAUUAUUUUAAGACAGAACGGGAGAACGGGAAAAUAAUCCU